UUGAGCUUGAUCCUGGCUCAGAUUGAACGCUGGCGGCAGGCCUAACACAUGCAAGUCGAGCGGAAACGAUGGAAGCUUGCUUCCAGGCGUCGAGCGGCGGACGGGUGAGUAAUGCAUGGGAAUCUGCCCGAUAGUGGGGGAUAACCUGGGGAAACCCAGGCUAAUACCGCAUACGUCCUACGGGAGAAAGCAGGGGAUCUUCGGACCUUGCGCUAUCGGAUGAGCCCAUGUCGGAUUAGCUUGUUGGUGAGGUAAUGGCUCACCAAGGCGACGAUCCGUAGCUGGUCUGAGAGGAUGAUCAGCCACAUCGGGACUGAGACACGGCCCGAACUCCUACGGGAGGCAGCAGUGGGGAAUAUUGGACAAUGGGCGAAAGCCUGAUCCAGCCAUGCCGCGUGUGUGAAGAAGGCCCUCGGGUUGUAAAGCACUUUCAGUGGGGAAGAAAGCCUUGGGAUUAAUACUCCCGAGGAAGGACAUCACCCACAGAAGAAGCACCUGACGUAGAUCUCACUGUCGCCACGACAGCGCUG
rnacentral:rRNA from 1 species